GUUCAUUCUUGAAUAUGUAUUAAAAUUGGAACGAUACAGAGACGAUUAGCAUGGUCCCUGCAAAAGAAUGACAUGCAAAUUCGCAAAAGGUUCCAAAAUUUU
rfam:Oesophagostomum dentatum strain OD-Hann O_dentatum-1.0_Cont46704.1, whole genome shotgun sequence.